rnacentral:rRNA from 1 species
UACGUAGGGUGCAAGCGUUUGUCCGGAAUUAUUGGGCGUAAAGAGCUCGUAGGCGGUUUGUCGCGUCUGCUGUGAAAACGCGAGGCUCAACCUCGCGCCUGCAGUGGGUACGGGCAGACUAGAGUGUGGUAGGGGAGAUUGGAAUUCCUGGUGUAGCGGUGGAAUGCGCAGAUAUCAGGAGGAACACCGAUGGCGAAGGCAGCCCCCUGGGCUGACACUGACGCUCAGGCACGAAAGCGUGGGGAGCAAACAGG